GUGAGCAACUGCAGAGAUAUAAAAGAAUGCUGACAGCAGACAAAGGGAAAAAAGAAAAAUCCUGCGCAUAAAAGAGGGACUGAUAAGCUGUGCAGGUUGGUGAUAAGAGACAAAAGCGGUACGUGCUGAAACGCGCUGUGACCAGGGAGAUAAAGGCCGUCGAUAACAGACACAGAGCUGAAGGUGGCGAAACACAAGCAUCUGCAAUGGACCAACAGGAAGAAAGAAAGGCCUUGAUUUCCACCCUUCCACAUACACCGACAUGGGGGCAUGGAAAUGGCACGUUCGUUCCUUAUCCACUGCUCUUAUGCAUGAAAAUAAGAGACAACAUCACAAACCAAGUUCUAUACCCAUCUACCAAAAGAAAUUAAUAAAUAUUAAUGACUUUGUAAUAUAUCCAGGUGUUCAUUCGAUUGGAAUUUUUCCUGCUUUGAUUUGUUUUUUGAACUUAUAUAGAAUAUAUACAGUGGCAUUUCAAGCCUCUGACAAUAAACAAGUAUGAACAAUCUAA